rnacentral:rRNA from 1 species
AUGGCUCAUGGCGACCAUCAAGACGAUGAUGAUGACUUCAUGGAUGCACCGCAACAGAAUCGCGCGACUAGACGGGCAAAAGAUGGCGAAGAGAAGAAGAAACAUCGUCGCAAUAGGGCUUUGCAAGAACGCCUGGCCAUUUUUAAUGAAGGAUUUACUGAUGAGCAGAAGGGAGCUGCCGAUGCCAUGGGGAUGCAGGCUCUGAUGGAUGUUCGCUGCAAGAACUUAGUGAACCCUGUAUGCGACUGGCUUGGUGAGAUUUAUGAUCCUGCCUCCAGAGAAUUUGUGAUUCCGGGACGGGGAAGACUGCCUUUGGAUGAGGAUUCGGUGUUCUGCACUUUGGGUGUGCCCCGUGGAGAAAUCAAAGUUCCGUAUGAGGUGGACAAUAAGAUUGAGGAAGCCAUGUUUCCCCGUUUGUUUCCUGGGAUGUCAACCCUGUCGAAUAUGACUGCACUGGCAACUUUGCUGGAGGGCAUGACAACCCAUGGCGAGCUCAUGUAUGUCGAUGCUCUUGAUCUGUCCACCGUUGACUUUACCGAGAUAGGAGGCCCGCCGCCUGCACAUAAGUUUGUUGUCUCUGCGUGGACGGACGCUGCUGUCAAGGUUGUGCUUGCCGCAGACAAGAUAACCGAUACGAAAUAUGGAAAACUGCAGCUGAUGGCCAAGAAUGUUAUAAACUAUAGUGUGUUUGGUGGGCCACAAAACUUUGGCAAGUGGAUGGAUGUGCAUUCAGCUCCAUCUUGUCCUACUGAGGCGAGGGCACUUGUUGAGCAUCUAGUUGGGCAGUUUGCCUCCGGCAUGACCAGCUUGCUCGGGAAGUUGGUUGAGGGUUGGACGACCUUAAUGGCUCCGACAAUGAUGCGACUGCGAGUAAAUUCACAUCAUUCGUUGAAGAACGGACACGCCGACCAACUGGUUGUCAUGGCCGGUAUGACUACAACAGCUCACAGGAGCUUCCUGACACGCAAGAUGAUCUAG